AAAAAAAAAAGGGACUGAAAGCCCUAACAGAAGCAGCAGCAACGCUGCAACUUCAGGGAUCAAAAGAAGAAGAAGAAAAAAGGGACUCUUCUUGUUCUAUAGUGAGCGAACGAACGAAGGAGAAACAUAAAUUUAAAUUGAAAGCCUUAGCUCUCAAACUAAAGAGAGAGGUGGAAGAAGAAGAAGAACGAGAAGAAGAUUGACCAAAGGAAUUCGUACGGAGUGAUUGAGUGGCAAGCUUGGUAACUCAACACAAGUACAAGAAUUCAAGUGGUAUUGAAGAGGAUUUCAUUAACUAGCGUGUGAGUUGGUAGCAUCUGGUGAGCCCCGCAUUGUUUCGCGUGGCAAGAGAACUAUUGAUUUGUUAUGUUUAUUUAGUUUCUUUUAAAAACUCUUAGAGUAGCUCCAUUUGUCAUUCUUUUGAUUUGAGUCAAGAUUAGUCCUUCGAAUUGUAGUCAAGUGACUAGUUUGGAACUUUUUUUUUCGUAAUUUGGAGAUGAAUUGGUUUUAUUGCG